rnacentral:rRNA from 1 species
UUGACAUCCAGCGAACUUGGCAGAGAUGCCUUGGUGCCUUCGGGAACGCUGAGACAGGUGCUGCAUGGCUGUCGUCAGCUCGUGUUGUGAAAUGUUGGGUUAAGUCCCGCAACGAGCGCAACCCUUAUCCUUUGUUGCCAGCGAUUCGGUCGGGAACUCAAAGGAGACUGCCGGUGAUAAACCGGAGGAAGGUGGGGAUGACGUCAAGUCAUCAUGGCCCUUACGAGUAGGGCUACACACGUGCUACAAUGGCGCAUACAAAGAGAAGCGACCUCGCGAGAGCAAGCGGACCUCAUAAAGUGCGUCGUAGUCCGGAUCGGAGUCUGCAACUCGACUCCGUGAAGUCGGAAUCGCUAGUAAUCGUGGAUCAGAAUGCCACGGUGAAUACGUUCCCGGGCCUUGUACACACCGCCCGUCACACCAUGGGAGUGGGUUGCAAAAGAAGUAGGUAGCUUAACCUUCGGGAGGGCGCUUACCACUUUGUGAUUCAUGACUGGGGUGAAGUCGUAACAAGGUAGGCGUAGACGU